GAAUUUCCCCUUGUUUUUAAAGGCAGCUUCCAUUGUCACAGCAAGUUUGAAUACUGCAUUUCCCUCCUUUCCUUUUUUUUUUGAGACGGAGUUUCGCUGUCGCCCAGGCGGGAGUGCAGGGCCGCGAUCUCGGCUCACUGCAGGCCCCGCCCCCGGGGUUCACGCCAUUCUCCUGCCUCAGCUUCCGGAGUAGCUGGGACUACAGGCGCCCGCCACCUCGCCCGGCUAAUUUUUUGUAUUUUUAGUAGAGACGGGGUUUCACUGUGUUAGCCAGGAUGGUCUCGAUCUCCUGACCUCGUGAUCCGCCCGCCUCGGCCUCCCAAAGUGCUGGGAUUACAGGCGUGAGCCACCGCGCCCGGCCCCUCCUUUACUUCUUGGCACCUUUAGAAGAUUCUGACUGCUGUUCACUUAAGUGGGAACAGCACUGCGUGCACAAUGCUCACUGUGCAUCUGCCCGUGUUCCGAGUCGCAUCCAAUAUGACUUCCUGGCAGCGGGCUGGCGUCUGCGUAUUGUUACUGCAGUGGUUGUCUACCUGAGCCUUGUCUACUGUGAGCCGGAACACCUACCUCCCCCUCUGGAGAGCAGGAAUUGGAGGUAG
rnacentral:lncRNA from 1 species